AAAAGGAACCAAAUGAGCUGAUGGAAGAUCUGUUUGAAACUUUCCAAGAUGAGAUGGGAUUCUCCAACAUGGAAGAUGAUGGCCCAGAAGAGGAGGAGCGUGUGGCUGAGCCUCAACCUAACACCCCUCAAGCUCUACGGUUUGAGGAACUACUGGCCAACCUACUAAAUGAACAACAUCAGAUAGCGAAGGAACUAUUUGAACAGCUGAAGAUGAAGAAAUCUUCAGCCAAACAGCAGAAGGAGGUAGAGAAGGUUAAACCCCAGUGUAAGGAAGUUCAUCAGACCCUGAUUCUGGACCCAGCACAGAGGAAGAGACUCCAGCAGCAGAUGCAGCAGAAAGAGCUGGGAACCUUUGCACAAAGCUCCAUCGCCCUUCACCAUCAGUACAACCCCAAGUUUCAGACCCUGUUCCAACCCUGUAACUUGAUGGGAGCUAUGCAGCUUAUUGAAGACUUCAGCACACAUGUCAGCAUUGACUGCAGCCCUCAUAAAACUGUCAAGAAGACUGGUAGGAGACAGAUGUGUCAGCUUUAAGUUUUUACUUGUGGUGAGAGGUGGUGGGAAUCUUAUCCCAUAGAUAACUUCCUAGGAUACUUGCCUAGGAAUGGAGGACACAGGACAUUUGUAAUUUCUUUCUUCUCUCUUUUAUCCUCCCUUUGUACUCAUUAUCCAAGUUCUAGAAUUACAUGAUAAUCUCUGGGCCUGG
rnacentral:sRNA from 1 species